AGAGGCAAACAUGGCUGGUGCAGCUACAACUUUGUUUAUUUUCUGUUUCUUCCAGUUUGAAUUUAUUUUAGCUCAGAAAAACAUCAGAGCUGAAACUGGGCAGGUUGUGAUUCUGCCGUGCCAAACUCCUGACAACAAUCCUGUCAUAGUCAUCGAGUGGAGGAGAAAUGAUUCCCUAUCAGAAUACGUUCUUCUGUUCAGAGACGAUCAGCUGGAUCCAGAAAACCAGCAGCCGUCUUUCAGGAACUGAGUGGAUCUGCUGUUCAGGCCGAUAAAAGAUGGAAACGCAUCUUUGGUCCUGAAGAACGUGACAACUAAUGAUAAGGGAAUGUACGAAUGUCGAGUUAUUGGAAGACAUCUAACAUCUGAAGCAGUCAGCAUCACCCACCUGGACGUUGUUCCUCCUGGCCAAAAAGGCGACCAAGAAGGAAACCACGACAGCUGGAGAGGGCGCGAUGGUCUGAUCGGCGUGGCUGUCCUUGUAGCUGCAGCAGCUGCUGCAGCAGCUAUCAGAUGGAGGAAAAUUGAAAAUGGAGCUGAAUCUGCAGAGGAACAUCAGAUGAAAGAGCUUCCCUGAUCAAAUUUAACGUCUCUGUAGUUUUAGGCACCGGUUGAGAUUUGUCUUAUUUCUUCCACCAGCCACUCAAAAAUGAGCCAGGUGUCAAAUAAUGAAAUCUUUUUAUUUCUAGAUCUGAGAGAUUUAUUGUUGAGGUGUUUUGUGUUUUCAGGCAUGUUUUGCCAUUUUAUAGUUCAAUCAAGUUACUAUGCUGCCUUCAGUUCGUAUAAUAACGCUGUAAAGGGAAAUCCCACCAGUUUUUUACUCAAAUGCUGGGAUUUAAUUGGGUUAAAAAACAUUAGGCAAAAUGAAAAACUUUAUUUACUUUAUAUUUAUAUUAAAAGGAAUCAAAGCAAUGUUUUUUAUGCUAACAUAACAUGAUGUAAAGCUAAAAUCUGCAUAAUAUCCUCCCAUUAAUUCUGUAAAAGUAGAACAAUGUGAUAUCAAAGUGUUCAGAAGUCAAAUCAGAAGUAAAUACAUUUUUCAUCUAAAAUAUAUCCAUAAUCAAGUGAAACAAUGGAGAUAGUAACUCAAAUCCCAAUGGUAUUAAUUUGAUAAUUUAUAGAUUUUGUGUUUCUUUGCAACUCUGUUAAAAUGUACCUGUAAAUAUUGAUGUUUUUAUUACAGGAAUACUGCAAAUAGUGUAAUGAAAUACAGCUGUGAUGUUCAAACUAACUUAAACAUGCAAAGGUUUAUAUAUUCACUGAAACGCUCAUCUUCUUCAAGUUAGGAUCUUUGUGAGACUGCUGAUGCUGUAUUGAAACUUUUUUGUUUUUAUGAUUUAUUGAUUUCAUGUGUAGCAUGCUUUGUUUGAAUUUUGAAAUUAGCCAAAGAUGGAAGUUACAGAAAGUUAUCCUGCUUCAUAAACAAUCACUGUUCACAAUACUGUAAAAGGAACAGCAGUUUUCUUUUUGCUUGGUUUGUCCAACAAUAGCGGUGAAGAAAUCUGAUCAGUCUGAAGUGCAUUUAAUCUUCAAGGUCAGACGUGGA